CGAGUCCUACGGGGCGCAGCAGUGAGGAAUAUUGGUCAAUGGACGAGAGUCUGAACCAGCCAAGUAGCGUGAAGGAUGACUGCCCUAUGGGUUGUAAACUUCUUUUAUAUGGGAAUAAAGUUUUCCACGUGUGGAAUUUUGUAUGUACCAUAUGAAUAAGGAUCGGCUAACUCCGUGCCAGCAGCCGCGGUAAUACGGAAGGUCCGGGCGUUAUCCGGAUUUAUUGGGUUUAAAGGGAGCGUAGGCCGGUCUUUAAGCGUGCCGUGAAAUUUUGUGGCUCAACCAUGAGAGUGCGGCGCGAACUG
rnacentral:rRNA from 1 species